AUGUCGACUAGUGGUAUAGUGCACAAUGACACUUUUUGUUUUAGUGGCACAAACUAUCACUUGUGGAAAAUUCGCAUGCUUUGUCAUUUUCGGACCAUGGGUCCAAAUCUUGUGCAAAUUGUUCUUGUAGGGGCUUCUCCGUGGAAGGAUGACCUUUUUCCAACUAGUGAGGAAAAUGAUGAUAUGCUUUGUGGCUAUGGUGCUAAGAAUGCCAUAAUCCGGUUUAUAUCCCUCGGAGUAUUUGAGUCUAUCAUGACUUGUGUGACGGGUCAUGAUAUGUGGACCAAACUUGAAGAAAUAUAUGGUGGGUCCAAUCUUGUUGAUAUUCAUCAUCUUUCGGAGGAGUUAAUUGAGGAGGUCUCCACAUCUUCAAAUCAUGAAGAUCUCCAUAUUGCUUCUUCAUCCAUGUGCUUGGACACUUCUACCUCUUCCACCUCACCAUCAUAUGGCAUGUCCCAAGGUAAUGACAUGGUGAGUGGAAAUAUCAUUUGUGAUGAUGAUGUUGUGCUAAACAUUGAUUAUCUUUCAUGUAUACAUGCUAGUGUUGUAGAUUCUAUGGACUUGAGCAUAUCUAGCAAAAAUGACUUACAUUCUUGUGUUGAUAGUCCAUGCAUAUCAUUUGGAGAUUCCUUGAAUACCUUUUGUGAUGAUAUGCUUGAUACUCCUUGUUUCCAUUAUCUCCAUGCUUCUAUUUCCUCUAGUUGUUGUUUGACUAACCAUGUAGAGGAAACAAGAGAAAAUAGUGCACACAUCAUUAAUGAGAAAAUUGCUAGAGGAGCAAAGAAGGACAUCACCUCGUUGGAGAGGAAAUCCUAUGAGUGCCAAGAGGAUGAACAUGGAUACCCUACUCUUGAUGAUAAAGAAACUCCCUCUCCAAAAGAAUCACCAUCGACCUCCGAUGUUCACAUGUGCCUCAUGGCAAGAGGUAAUACCGAGCAUCUAUCUUGA
rnacentral:rRNA from 1 species